GACGAACGCUGGCGGCGUGCCUAAUACAUGCAAGUUGAGCGCUGAAGGUUGGUACUUGUACCGACUGGAUGAGCAGCGAACGGGUGAGUAACGCGUGGGGAAUCUGCCUUUGAGCGGGGGACAACAUUUGGAAACGAAUGCUAAUACCGCAUAAAAACUUUAAACACAAGUUUUAAGUUUGAAAGAUGCAAUUGCAUCACUCAAAGAUGAUCCCGCGUUGUAUUAGCUAGUUGGUGAGGUAAAGGCUCACCAAGGCGAUGAUACAUAGCCGACCUGAGAGGGUGAUCGGCCACAUGGGGACUGAGACACGGCCCAAACCCCUCCGGGAGGCAGCAGUGGGGAAUCUUGGGCAAUGGGCGAAAGCCUGACCCAGCAACGCCGCGUGAGUGAAGAAGUUUUUCGGAUCGUAAAACUCUUUUGGUUGGGAAAAAGGUGGGGGAGAUAGGAAAGCCCUGUAAUGACGGUGAACACACAAGAAGGGGCGGGUAACCUCCUG
rnacentral:rRNA from 1 species